GCGCCCGUAGCUCAGGGGAUAGAGUAGCACACUCCGAAUGUGAAGGCCGUGAGUUCGAAUCUCACCGGGCGCACCA
rnacentral:tRNA from 1 species